rnacentral:tRNA from 1 species
GGUCCCGUAGCUCAGUUGGUUAGAGCGCUUGCUUGACAUGCAAGAGGUCGUUGGUUCGAGUCCAAUCGGGACCA